rnacentral:lncRNA from 1 species
AAUUGAGGAGUUGUCCAUCUGGGGACACACAGCAGUGACAAGGACGUAGCCUUUCCUAAUCCCUGAAGAGCUCUUCCGCAGGUACUCUGAAGGGCAAUUCCAGCAGAAUGUACAUUCCAUGACAUCUGGGACUUUGAUGCGUUGCCCCAGAAGAUAAUACCAGUACCUACAGCAUGUUCACCUAAGCACUGGUCAAGUGGAUAUUACUCAACCAGAAUGCAAACAUUUCUAUUGGUUUUAGUAAGACCUGAAAGAGGCUGGGCGCGGUGGCUAACGCCUGUAAUCCCAGCAGUUUGGGAGGCUGAGGCGGGCGGAUCAUGAGGUCAGAUGAUCAAGACCAUCCUGGCUAACAUGUGAAACCCCCUCUCUACUAAAAAUACAAUAAAAAAAAAAAAUAGCCGGGCGUGGUGGCAGGCGCCUGUAAUCCCAGCUACUCGGGAGGCUGAGGCAGCAGAAUGGCAUGAACCAGGAAGGUGGAGCUUGCAGUGAGCCGAGAUAGCGCCACUGCACUUCAGCCUGGGCAACAGAGCGACUGUCUCAAAAAAGACCUGAAAGCAGCUUCUCUUUGAGAUUUCUGAGUUAUCUGGGAUUGCUGUGGGCUCUUGAAUUUCCAUUCCAUUUACUUUUCCAAGAUGCCACCCUGAGCACCUCCAGACACUCCAUGACUUAGGUCCCUUUGAGACUCAAACCACUUAACCAGUCCCAAGAGUUUAAAGAUUCUUAAAUUCAGAAUUGCUUUUUAGAUGCAACCAGAGGUAAGAUCCCACUGUACCAAAAAGGGAAAGACAUUCUUUGAAGCUAAAUUGAACUAGAUGGUUUCCUGAAGAAUGAAGCCAGGGGUGGUGGCUCAUGCCUGUAAUCCUAGCACUUGGGGAGGCCGAGGAGGGCUAUCACUUGAGGUCAGGAGUUCAAGACCAGCUGGCCAACACGGUGAAACGCCAUCUCUUCUAAAAAUACAAAAAAAUUAGCUGGGGAUAGUGGCGGCCACCUGUAAUCCCAGCUAUUCAGGACGCUGAGGCAGGAGAAUCACUUGAACCUGGGAGGUGGAGGUUGCAGUGAGCUGAGAUCGUGCCACCGUACUCUAACCUGAGUGACAGUGACACUCUCAAAAAAAAAAAAAAAAAAAAAAAAAAACUGAACCAUGGAAGGAACUCACAAACCUCCAGCCUGCCUUGAAAGGGGUAACAAAAUACCUAGUCAACAAGAAGACUGUCACCCAAGGGACCUGAAGUGCACAUAAUCCUGCCAAGGAAAGCACGCACCAAUCUGCCCCCAGUUGCCCAGUACUUACUGUAUCUAAAACUGAGCCAGGCCUUCAGCCCAUAGGUGAAGAUACAUUCAGUGUUCCCAGUGGCAAGAUUCAGCAUCAGAAAUUAGACAAAGGGCAUGUCUUACAGUAAGGGAAUUUUGUACAAAAGUCCAAAGGGAGGUGUAUGGUGCUUUGUGGUUCAGAUAAUACAGAAAGUUGAGGAGCUUGAUGGGGCAGAGAAUGAAAACCAGCUAUAUGGUGGCAGCCUUGUUAACCCAAACAGAUUCAUUUACAGGUCCAUUUUUUCAGGGUAUAGAACCAGCAAGUUACAGGCUUCAUCUGCUUGAAGUUAAUGUGACUGUAGUUCUUCGUGUAUGUAUGGCUAUUUUUUUCUUCUGCAUCCCCUUGACUUGGCAUAGUACUUGAUCCAGUGGAUAUCAAAGUUUUGUGAGUUUCUGUUUUGAGUUUGCCAGUCUGUGCCAUCUAAUUCUCAAAUCAGACCAAGGUAGGGAAGACAGCUAGCUUCUUCUUAGUGGUCUUCAAUGUGGGUAGGGAGGGAUUUUGCCUUUCUCAGAGGCAUAGACAUUUUUAGUUGUCACAAUUGUGGAAGAGGGUGCUACUGGCAUCUAGCAGGUAGAGUCCAGGGAUGAAGUUAAUCCUAAAUCAAAAUCAAAAUAAUAAACAUCCUACAAUGCCAGCAUUGGUUUCUACAACAAAUGAUAAUCUGGCCCAAAAUCUCAACAGUGCCAAAAUUAAGUAAUUCUGUGUCUAGCAGACAGUAAGAAAAACACUAAGGGCCAGGUGCAGUGGCUCACGCCUGUAAUCCCAGCACUUUGGGAGGCCGAGGCAGGUGGAUCACCUGAGGUCAGGGGUUUGAGACCAGCCUAGCCAACAUGGUGAAACCCCAUCUCUACUAAAAAUACAAUAUUAGCCACUUGAAGCCAGGAGGCGGAGGUUGCAGUGAGCCAAGAUUACGCCACUGCACUCCAGACUGGGCGAUAGAGCAAGACUGUCUCAAAAAAAAGAAAAAAAAAAAAGAAAAAACAUUAUGUUCAAUCCUGAGCUCUGCUGUUCCAAAAACAAAAGAUCAAAGGAGUCUGAAAUGAUAGGAAUCGUUUUGGUUCAGACUUCUCUGGACAUAGAUCCCUUAUCAGACGAAAACAUAACUCAUGCUAAAAAAAAACCUAGGCAAAAAUAAGAUUUAAAAUGGAAGAAUAAAAUACUCUAUAUGGAAAUCCUCAGCAUGAGAAGGAAAAACAAAUAUUCACAGGGAAGAUUAUGGAAUGUUCUCACCAAAUGUAAAACAGGCCCAGUCAAUGCCAUUUAUUAUACAUGUCAAACAGCUUCUAAGACCGACGGGCUCCCAUAAUAAGGUUUUGGGGAUUUUUUGUUUUGUUUUUCAUUUUCUUUUUUGCAUCAAACAGGUUCUUCCAAAAGCCUGCUCACAAGGUAGACAAAAACAUAAAUCUUCAGGAAAAUGAAACAUGAGAAGCUGAAACAAUCUACACCUGAAUGUUAAAAAACUCAUCAGACACAAACCACACCAAACACUCAUCCCAUUUAAUUUCCUGUUACAUGCUCUGAGGAAGCCAAGAACAUCAGGCCCCAGGGCAGCAAUGCUCUAGGAUUCCAGCUCGGACCCCCUCUAUAUGACAGAUUCAUGCACACACAUCCACACACCAUAGAACCAGGCAGAAAUACACAUGCAUGCACAGGUGGCUAGAGAACCAUAGGGCAGGAUGGGAAAAAGGGCUGAUCAAGGAUAUGCAAUCAACUGGAAACUGGGACCUAGAGAAUGCUUCUGUUGCAGGAUGAACAUGAGUUAAAAUUAAAACAAAGGCAGAACACAGGAUAAAGGUGGGAUGUUCAGACAAGAGGUGGGAUAGAUGAAGAGAUAAAGAUGCAGGGGGAGUUUUGGGAAAGCAGCCUCAGAAGGGGAGGUUUUUCUUUAUUGGGAACUCAGGUGGGCAGGGUCCUGUGACUCCAGUGAUACACUGAGGCAGAAGCAAUAUGCCACAGCAUUACCUCUGCAAUCUGUGCCCUCUCCCAAAGUAGAGGGAAACCAUGAGCCCCCACCCUCUAUCCCUCCCCAUUGACACUCUUAAGAACUUUCCCAUUACCCAAAAAGAAAUGACCCCCUACUACACACACACACACGCAAAGUUAGGUCCAGCAUAGGCCAAAGUCAGGCCAAGCACAGAAAGCCUCAGUAACUCUUCUUGGUGGAACCAAAGCCAGAGAAGCCCAUCACAGCUGCCAUCUCAUCGUCCUCCUCAAAUGUCAAGUCCUCCUCAGCCCUCCUUUUCUUCUCCUUCUGUUUCUCUUUCUUGUACGCUUUGGCCUUUUCCUCCUGGAGGGAAAAAUCACUCAGAAUCAGUUUAGACUCCUCAGCCAAAUGUUGUUUGUAACAACAACUAACAUUCUGGGGCAUGCAGUACAUGCCAGAAAUUGCUCUGAGUACUUCAUGUAUAUUAAGAUCUCUAAUAUGGGGAUAUUGAGGCACAAAGAGGUUAUAUAACUUGCCCAAGAUUCACAG